rnacentral:rRNA from 1 species
CAGCAGCCGCGGUAAUACGGAGGGUGCAAGCGUUAUCCGGAUUUAUUGGGUUUAAAGGGUCCGUAGGCGGACUUAUAAGUCAGUGGUGAAAGCCUGUCGCUUAACGAUAGAACUGCCAUUGAUACUGUAAGUCUUGAGUAUAUUUGAGGUAGCUGGAAUAAGUAGUGUAGCGGUGAAAUGCAUAGAUAUUACUUAGAACACCAAUUGCGAAGGCAGGUUACCAAGAUAUAACUGACGCUGAGGGACGAAAGCGUGGGUAGUGAACAGGAUUAGAUACCCCCGUAGUCCCUGUCUCUUAUAC